rnacentral:lncRNA from 1 species
AGGCUACCAGUUCUGAAGCUGGUACUGAUGAGGGUUAUGAGUCCGUGGAGGGCUAAGUUAUUUUAUUUUUCAUAUUAUGUUUUAUUUCUAUUGUAUUUUCAGACUUGUGUAUUUUGAUGUUGGUUAUGUACUUUUGGGGUGUUUUGUCCCCCAUGAACAAAUUUAAAUUUUGAAGUAAUGUUAUUAUUUAUGUUUUAAA